AGUGAACGCUGGCGGCAGGCCUAACACAUGCAAGUCGAACGGCAGCACAGAGGAGCUUGCUCCUUGGGUGGCGAGUGGCGGACGGGUGAGGAAUACAUCGGAAUCUGCCCAUUUGUGGGGGAUAACGUAGGGAAACUUACGCUAAUACCGCAUACGACCUACGGGUGAAAGCGGAGGACCUUCGGGCUUCGCGCAGAUAGAUGAGCCGAUGUCGGAUUAGCUAGUUGGCGGGGUAAAGGCCCACCAAGGCGACGAUCCGUAGCUGGUCUGAGAGGAUGAUCAGCCACACUGGAACUGAGACACGGUCCAGACUCCUACGGGAGGCAGCAGUGGGGAAUAUUGGACAAUGGGCGCAAGCCUGAUCCAGCCAUGCCGCGUGGGUGAAGAAGGCCUUCGGGUUGUAAAGCCCUUUUGUUGGAAAAGAAAAGCAGUCGGUUAAUACCCGAUUGUUCUGACGGUACCCAAAGAAUAAGCACCGGCUAACUUCGUGCCAGCAGCCGCGGUAAUACGAAGGGUGCAAGCGUUACUCGGAAUUACUGGGCGUAAAGCGUGCGUAGGUGGUUUGUUAAGUCUGAUGUGAAAGCCCUGGGCUCAACCUGGGAAUUGCAUUGGAUACUGGCAGGCUAGAGUGCGGUAGAGGGUAGUGGAAUUCCCGGUGUAGCAGUGAAAUGCGUAGAGAUCGGGAGGAACAUCCGUGGCGAAGGCGACUACCUGGACCAGCACUGACACUGAGGCACGAAAGCGUGGGGAGCAAACAGGAUUAGAUACCCUGGUAGUCCACGCCCUAAACGAUGCGAACUGGAUGUUGGGUUCAACUAGGAACUCAGUAUCGAAGCUAACGCGUUAAGUUCGCCGCCUGGGGAGUACGGUCGCAAGACUGAAACUCAAAGGAAUUGACGGGGGCCCGCACAAGCGGUGGAGUAUGUGGUUUAAUUCGAUGCAACGCGAAGAACCUUACCUGGCCUUGACAUGCACGGAACUUUCCAGAGAUGGAUUGGUGCCUUCGGGAACCGUGACACAGGUGCUGCAUGGCUGUCGUCAGCUCGUGUCGUGGGAUGUUGGGUUAAGUCCCGCAACGAGCGCAACCCUUGUCCUUAGUUGCCAGCACGUAAUGGUGGGAACUCUAAGGGGACCGCCGGUGACAAACCGGAGGAAGGUGGGGAUGACGUCAAGUCAUCAUGGCCCUUACGGCCAGGGCUACACACGUACUACAAUGGGAAGGACAGAGGGCUGCGAACCCGCGAGGGCAAGCCAAUCCCAGAAACCUUCUCUCAGUCCGGAUCGGAGUCUGCAACUCGACUCCGUGAAGUCGGAAUCGCUAGUAAUCGCAGAUCAGCAUUGCUGCGGUGAAUACGUUCCCGGGCCU
rnacentral:rRNA from 1 species